rnacentral:misc_RNA from 1 species
GUGAAUCAUCGAAUCUUUGAACGCAAAUUGCACUCUCUGGUAUUCCGGGGAGUAUGCCUGUCUGAGGGUCAGUAAAAAUUAAAAAUCGAGGUGUUGCUUUUUUUUUUGACGCAUUGGAACUGGGCAAUCCCUGUCCUUUGGAUUUUUUAAGAGACCUUAAUUUGAUACUUUGUUCAUCUCAGACGUCCAUAAAGAAUAUUCUUUUU